UCGCUAGGGGCGCUGACGCUGAGACUCCGCAUUCGCGGGGACCCUUAUUACUUGAACCGGAUAAUACCGGCGUAAGGAAGCAGAUUAU
rnacentral:ncRNA from 1 species